GACGUAGGGCGCGAGCGUUGUCCGGAAUCAUUGGGCGUAAAGAGCGUGUAGGCGGUUCAGUAAGUCUGCUGUGAAAGUCCAGGGCUCAACCCCGGGAGGCGGGUGGAUACUGUCAAGCUCGAGUCCGGAAGAGGAGUGUGGAAUUCCUGGUGUAGCGGUGAAAUGCGCAGAUAUCAGGAGGAACACCGGUGGCGAAGGCGGGUCUCUGGGCCGAUACUGACGCUGAGGAGCGAAAGCGUGGGGAGCGAACAGG
rnacentral:rRNA from 1 species